rnacentral:rRNA from 1 species
AUACGGAGGGUGCAAGCGUUAUCCGGAAUCAUUGGGUUUAAAGGGUCCGCAGGCGGAUUAAUAAGUCAGUGGUGAAAUCCUCCCGCUCAACGAGAGAACUGCCAUUGAAACUGUUAGUCUUGAAUUCGGUCGAAGUAGGCGGAAUGUGUCAUGUAGCGGUGAAAUGCAUAGAUAUGACACAGAACACCGAUAGCGAAGGCAGCUUACUAGACCUGGAUUGACGCUCAUGGACGAAAGCGUGGGGAGCGAACAGGAUUAGAAACCCUAGUAGUCC